ACAAUGGUGGUUCAGUGGCAGAAUCCUCACCUUCCAUGUGGGAGACACAGGGUCAAUUCCUGGCCAGUGCA
rnacentral:tRNA from 1 species